CUGCGCCACGAGUGGCAAUCAGUAUUAUUGGGCCUAAAGCGUCCGUAGCAGGUCGAGUAAAUCUCUUGUGAAAUUGUUCAGCUCAACUGAACACCGUGCAAGAGACACUGCACGACUUGGGACCGGGAGGAGUCAGAGGUAUUCCAUGGGGAGCGGUAAAAUGCUAUAAUCCAUGGAGGACCACCUAUGGCGAAGGCAUCUGACCAGAACGGAUCCGACUGUGAGGGACGAAAGCCAGGGGAGCGAACCGGAUUAGAGACCCGAGUAGUCC
rnacentral:rRNA from 1 species